rnacentral:tRNA from 1 species
GGAAUGAUGGUCGAGUGGUUUAAGACACCAUCCUGCUAAGAUGGAGUACUUGAAAAAGUACCGAAGGUUCAAAUCCUUCUCAUUCCG